GGAUAAGGGGCGCGCACCGGAUGGGCAAGCGGGGAGGGAAGCGCUGCUGGUGAGGUCUCCGUGCCGAGGGACACCGCGGCAAGGACCAGGAAAACACCGAUAUCAGGGAGAGAUUUUCACCGAUAAGGAAAAUCCCAGGUGGAAGGCUUGAGGAUGAGUAAACGCCGGCACACGGUAGGAAAACACGGCGGCCUCAACCCUAGCCGAACCCCUCCCGUGCCUCAGUUUCCCCGGCUGCAUGCCAUGCGCCCCACUGCAGCGGUGACAAACCGAAGCCGAGAAGUUGGCGGGGGGGGGGGGG